GAUGAACGCUGGCGGCGUGCCUAAUACAUGCAAGUCGAGCGAACGGACGAGAAGCUUGCUUCUCUGAUGUUAGCGGCGGACGGGUGAGUAACACGUGGAUAACCUACCUAUAAGACUGGGAUAACUUCGGGAAACCGGAGCUAAUACCAGAUAAUAUUUUGAACCGCAUGGUUCAAAAGUGAAUGACGGUCUUGCUGUCACUUAUAGAUGGAUCCGCGUUGCAUUAGCUAGUUGGUAAGGUAACGGCCUACCAAGGCAACGAUGCGUAGCCGACCUGAGAGGGUGAUCGGCCACACUGGAACUGAGACACGGUCCAGACUCCUACGGGAGGCAGCAGUAGGGAAUCUUCCGCAAUGGGCGAAAGCCUGACGGAGCAACGCCGCGUGAGUGAUGAAGGUCUUCGGAUCGUAAAACUCUGUUAUUAGGGAAGAACAUAUGUGUAAGUAACUGCGCACGUCUUGACGGUACCUAAUCAGAAAGCCACGGCUAACUUCGUG
rnacentral:rRNA from 1 species